ensembl:lncRNA
UUUUAAAUUUAUUUAUUAAUAAUUUAUUUUACAUUUAUAAGUGGAAAACUGCGUAUUUGUUAUUUCGUUUCUGAUUGGCUCACAAGCCUCGAGACGCGUGCAGUGAGUGGUGACGUGUCUGCGGCGUUUUUCAAACUCGUAGAGACGGUUGGUGGCUGGUAGACCAAACAAAGCUAGGAGAUAUCCAGCUAAAACUGCGGUAAAGCAGCGGCGAAGUCAGAAAAAGUCUGUUUUCUGUGUGAGGGGGAAAGAUUGAACUUUGAACUUUGUGUACCUGUGGAUUACGAGCCAAGCCCAGACGAUUGAACCAGAGUACAAAACCACUAGCCUCACACAGUGCUUCAGUAACAGCUUCUUCUCCUCCCUGAUGUCAAAUGCGCAGUGUUUCCAGACUAAGACACAGCACCAAAUGUAUUAUUUAUGGAACACCAAAGAGAACUCCAAAGAGACCUCCAAAGCACCAAAUCUCAAGGCCAACUGCAGCUUGGGUGCCCCGAACUAGACAGG